ensembl:lncRNA
GUAACCUUCCCAACACUGAAGUUAAGUGUGACACAAGUGUCAAAAAGUGAUCAAAUACUUUUUGACCUGUAUUGUCUGGGGUUUAUCUGAUCCACCAAACCUGGGCAAUGUUUAUUUUUCUUUCCAGUCAUAUAAUUAUGGAUCAAAGUACAGAUGAUGAUGUCAUGGACACCUCUCCAGAAUCAUAUGGAGAUUCAGAUGAUGUCAUGGACAUUUCUUCAGUGUCACACAGAAAUCCAAAUGAUAUCAAUCUUCCAGUGACGCAUCAAUAUACAGAAGAUGUCAUGGACAGUCCUCAUGAAACAGAUCAAGAAGCAGAUGAUGUCUUGGCUCCUUCUCCAGCGACACAUCAAACCCCAGAUAACGUGAUGGACAAUCUUCCAGUGAUACAUGAUGAAGAAUAUACAGAAAACCUAAACAAAGACAAUUAUGACCCUUUUGUGACAGACUUAACCGCUAAAAUAGAAUUUCAGAUGCAAUCAACUUCAGUUCUUUUCACAUCACAUGAUCAAGACCUUGGUGUAAAGUCUCUUGGAACCUCAAAUAAAGCACAUGGAGAAUACAAGGAUAAUGUGAAACCAGUAGAUGAAGGGAGUAACCCGAAACCUGAUGGUAAUGCAAACGUAGCACAUGUGUGCUCAGGCUUUGAUGAUUCAUCUCACAACAACACAGGUAAGAAAUGCAACUAGUGCAAAGUUCUGUCAUGACACUCUAGAUGGCACAGGUCUAUAGGUUCUAACUCAAUCUGAAAUAUUCA